UACGUAGGGUGCGAGCGUUGUCCGGAAUUACUGGGCGUAAAGCGCACGUAGGCGGACAUUUAAGUUGGAGGUGAAAGCCUUGGGCUCAACCCAAGAAUUGCCUUUGAUACUGGAUGUCUCGAGACCGGGAGAGGUGAGUGGAAUUCCGAGUGUAGAGGUGAAAUUCGUAGAUAUUCGGAAGAACACCAGUGGCGAAGGCGGCUCACUGGCCCGGUUCUGACGCUGAGGUGCGAAAGCGUGGGGAGCAAACAGG
rnacentral:rRNA from 1 species